UACGUAGGUCCCGAGCGUUGUCCGGAUUUAUUGGGCGUAAAGCGAGCGCAGGUGGUUUAUUAAGUCUGGUGUAAAAGGCAGUGGCUCAACCAUUGUAUGCAUUGGAAACUGGCAGACUUGAGUGCAGGAGAGGAGAGUGGAAUUCCAUGUGCAGCGGUGAAAUGCGUAGAUAUAUGGAGGAACACCGGUGGCGAAAGCGGCUCUCUGGCCUGUAACUGACACUGAGGCUCGAAAGCGUGGGGAGCAAACAGG
rnacentral:rRNA from 1 species